rnacentral:rRNA from 1 species
UACGUAGGGGGCAAGCGUUGUCCGGAAUUACUGGGUGUAAAGGGUGAGUAGGCGGCAUGGUAAGCCAGAUGUGAAAGCCUUGGGCUUAACCCGAGGAUUGCAUUUGGAACUAUCAAGCUAGAGUACAGGAGAGGAAAGCGGAAUUCCUAGUGUAGCGGUGAAGUGCGUAGAUAUUAGGAAGAACACCAGUGGCGAAGGCGGCUUUCUGGACUGAAACUGACGCUGAGGCUCGAAAGCGUGGGUAGCAAACAGG